UAUUUAUCUUCCUUUUCAUUAAGAAAUGUUAUGAAAUUGAUGCUUUUAGUUGGUUUCCAAUUGUUUCUGUUAUUUGUGUUGGUGUCGUCGCAGGAAGAACAUUCAUUUCACGAUUACUUUUGGUAUUUGUUUGUAAGACAUAGAACAACCUCGACAUAUUGAGCCAUGAGACUUCGGGUCCUAACUUGUGGUUCUUACAUUCAACUUGUCGUGGUAAUUGAAGCAAAUCACUUUCCCUUGGUGUAGUAGAGAAGUUAGAAAAAAAAAAGUGAACAAUUCUGAUUCUAUCUCCUACUAGCUGUGUGAACUAAAAUCACUUAACUUCUUGGAGUAAAAAUAAUUUAGAUGAAUAGCUUGUAUCUCCCAGGGUUGUGAGGUUAAAAUUAAUAAUACGUUAAAAAUGCCCUGCAUGUAGAUGCUUAAUAGACACCGUUUCCCUCCCCUGCCACCUGAACUGAGACACAGACAAAUGAUGGGACGAAGCAAGAAUAGACGCCUGCUAUCUAUCUAUCUAUCUAUCUAUCUUCUAUCUAUCUAUCUAUCUAUCUAUCUAUCUAUCUAUCUAUCUACCUCUGUAUCUAUCAUAUAUUUACCAGAAAACCUUGUUCUCAAAUCUAGAACACCGAUGCACAAAAUAGAUACAAUGGAGCUGCUCUGGAAAACCAAAUCACAUCAGCAGUUUUCAUACCCACAACUCAAUGGCCUGAGCAAGUCACCUGGUUUGUCAGACUAGCAGAGCUCUACAAGCUGCCACAAUAGAUGUGCAUUCAGUGAGAGGACCGCAGUUGUAAAUGUAAUCGGUUUACCAUGGAUGGCUAACCACACUCACAGAGUAUCGAUUUUUCUAAUUUAAUCCUCAGAAGACAUCAUGUUGCUUUUAUGUAUUGAUGCCUGAUUUCCUCCAUGCUACCUUGGCCUCAGAGAGGAAUUUUGCUGGUCUUCUACUGCCUGUGAGUCGGGAGGAAAGAAGAGGAAGCUAACCUGACUAAAGCUUGCUCACUGUGUCUUUGAAGAAGGUUGCAGAUUCUAAUCCAGACACAGGAGUUGAAUCUGAUGGAUUUUUGUCAUUUGCAACCAAGGAUCCUGACUAAUAUAGACAGAAAGAUUGACAACCAGGACUAAGAAAGGAAACUGAAGAAAGGUGACAAGAUGGAUUCUGCUCAGAAAACUGGGUUUAUGGAUUAAAAAACAGCUUUACUGUCAUCUUACUCAUACAUUUGCUAAGACUCUGCCUGAUGUUUAUAGAGG
rnacentral:lncRNA from 1 species